CCGUAACAGGGUAGUUAUAAAGGUAGCUUUCGGGUUUGUCAAGAAGCAUGCUAUGAGACAUGGUCAAUCAAGAUGGGAUUUGCCCCUCUCUGAUUGAGAGUGAUAUCUCUGGGCCCCUCGAGUGAUCGGAUCCGAAAAUGCAUGGUCAUGCUACGUACGGUUAAGAGUUAACCUACAAAGGGAUUCCGAAUCACAGGAUCGAGAAAGAGCGGUCGGCUUGAAGCUAGACCAAAUAUCCUGAGGCAAAGGGAAUAGCAUGUAUAUUAUGUUGUGAUGGUUCGUCUGAUAUGAUCUUCGUGUGCGUAUAGGAUUUGGCACGUCUUGCUAGAGGUCGCUACCGACUAUUGGGCCGAGUAGGAGUACUCGGGCCAUGUCUAUACGUAUCCGAACCCAUAGGGUCACACACUUAAGGGGCUGGAAGCCAAAUUUGGAUCAGAUCCGAGUUGGAUUAGGUUUAGAAGUACUAAUGGGCCUCGGAUCCAGAGGCCCGUCAGGAACCUCUAUAAAUAGAGGGGUGGGGGCGCCCUAGGGUUUACACCUUUUGGCAAAACACACCUGCCGCGCCUCCCACGCCCUCGCCUGUUGCAACUCACGGAUCUAGCAGUCCGGCUUGCGACGCUUCCUCCCUGCACGUGUGGAUACCUUGGAGGUGUUGCGCCUGCAGCACUUGGACGAGCCAUCGACGAGCCGCCAAUGAGCCGCGACGAGCUGACGACGAGCCGCGACACCGGAGGCGAUCUUGCUGCACGUGGACGAGCUGCUGAGGAGCUGCUGGACGUGAUCGACUACGUACGACUACGUUGAUCGACUACGUACGACUAUGUGAUCGUCUUCGCUGCAUCGACGCAUAUCUACAUCUUCCGCACCAGUAGUGCGUCGAGUGGUAAUCCCGUGAUCCUUAUACGGCAAAUCUUCCUGGUUAUACGCGGUAGAAAUUUUGAUUUGCGCUAGCGUAGCCUACCUCGUAUCCCAACAGUGGUAUCAGAGCCGUAGCUGCUUAGUUUUGGAUUCGGGAUGUGUGCAUAUGGAGAUAUGCGAGUUCUCUGUUUGAUCUAUGUCCUGAUUUCGUGUCCUUGCUGCAAUGGUAGUGUAACGACAUACUCCUACCGGUCGGUUUCCACCAUCGGAGUUAAGUGAUACACGUAAAUCCAGUUGCAGUGAGCGAAGAUCAAUAUGAUUGGUCGAAUCGAGAUCCAGGGUCAUACGCCAGGCGCAUUAGAUGUGCAAUAGUAGAUGGGGUCUACUGCUGGGGUCGGGAUUUUUGCUGUAUGCGUAUGCUUCGGUAAAUCAGCCGUAACUUUUCGGUACGAUCUCGGAUCGGGGCGAUUUUUAUACGAAAAUUGAUCUACAGAAAAAGUUACACAUGAAAUCCGAAGUUUGGAACGUUAGGACGCCUAACUCUCUUUUGCAGGAUGUAUGUAUGUAUCUUGUGAUCAGUAUGGCCCCCUUGUGUAUGUGAUGCAUGUGUGUAACUCAUUCGUGACCUGCGUGUCGCGCGUACGGCAACACGGCAGGAGCCAUAUGUGUUGUCACUUUAUUGUAUUUAAUGGUCUACGUACCAAUCUGUGAUGAUCCAAGCAACUAUGUAAUCUUCAUUACUAGAUUCUUUACUAGCUAUUAGGCGUAAUAGCAUGCUCUAGUUCUUGGAGGACUCAUCACCAGGAGGAUGGUGCACAUGGAACAUGGAGAUGGAGAUCACCAUGGUGAACAGGUUCUAUGGAGAUGGAGAUCACAAUAUGAAAACGGGCCAUACUGUGUCACAAGCUGUGUGAAUGCUAUUCUGUUUAUGUUUUACUUUCUGCAUGCUGUGAUGUUAGAAGUAGAACGAUCCCUCACAAAGUUUAAGUUAGUAUGCCCUCCCAACUAAAACUUGCACCGUCCCAUGUCUUGUACAAUUAGUGGUGGGUCUAUAAAAUUAGGGUGCCACUAGUUUUCCUUGACUAGACGGGUUUGUGUCGGACACUUACACGCAUAAGGGUUGGUUUGCUUAACAAGGUUAUCUUAACGGUUAAGGACCUUGGGGCAUAAAGGUUGGGCGCCGAGACAUAGAGAUGUCACCCAACAACAGGAGUCAUAUGUGAUAUGAUUAGCAAAAGUUGCUUACCGAUCUACCUCGUUUGCUAGCGGUGAUGCUAAAGCUCACUAGUGGACUUGUUAGUUGUGGAUCCUAAAUCACUAAGUUUCAAUAGAGGGAUAUUGAUUUUAGUGGGAGUAGAUUCUGUUAAAAUAGUUUAAUAUGAUUUACUCUAUCAUGGAUACGUUUGUCUUAGUGUAUUUUGCAUUACUUUGUUGUAGAUUAAAUGGCACCUAGCAGCACUACACCAUUUGCUUUGCGUUCGGUCCUUGAGAAGGACAAGUUGAAUGGAACAAAUUACUCGGAUUGGAUCCGUAACCUGAGAAUUGUUCUCAGGGCUGAGAAAAAGGAAGAUGUUCUAGACAACCCACUACCAGAAGAACCUGCUGAUGAUGCACCCGCUGCUGCUAAGAAUGCUUACAAGAAGGCAUGUGAUGCUAACCUUGAAGUAAGCUGCCUUAUGCUUGCUUGCAUGGAACCCGAGCUGCAGAUGCAGUUCGAAACAAACCAUGAGGCGCACGAUAUGAUCGUGGCGCUUAGGGACAUGUUCCAAACACAGGCCAGGACUGAAAGGUUCAAUGUGUCUAAGGCCUUUGUUGAGAGCAAGCUAGCAGAAGGCGCAGCAGUAGGACCACACGUAAUCAAGAUGGUUGGUUACACUCAACGGUUGGAGAAGCUGGGCUUCCCACUGAGCCAAGAGUUGGCCACUGAUUUCAUUCUUUCGUCUCUUCCACCUAGCUAUGGGAACUUCAUCUCGAACUACCAUAUGCAUGGGACGGAGAAGGGUCUGAAUGAGCUGUGUGGCAUGCUUAAAACAGCAGAGGCUGACAUCAAGAAAAGCGCUAGUACCAGCCAUGUGAUGGCGAUACAGAACAAGCCUAGCUUUAAGAAGAAGGGAAAUUCUUGGAAGAAGAAGGGCAAGGCUGGAACGUCCAAGCCAAACCCAACGCCCAAUGUUAAAGCUGGACCUGGACCUACUCCAGACAAGGAGUGCUUUUAGUGUCAUGAACUUGGUCACUGGAAGAGAAACUGCAAGCAGUACCUAGCUUCCUUGAAGAAUGGCGGAAGUAAGAGUACUUCUACCUCAGGUACGCUUGUUGUUAAUGUUAUAGACAACAUAUUUCUCGCUGAUACAAUUAUUAAUUCUUGGGUAUUUGAUACCGGAUCGGUUGCUCAUAUUUGCAAUUCGAUGCAGGGAAUGAUAAGAAGUAGAAGAGUGGAAAGAGGAGAAGUUGAUUUCCGCGUGGGCAAUAAUGCAAGAGUUGCUGCUUUGACCGUCGGGACGAUGCAACUCCACCUCCCGUCAGGAUUUAUUAUGGAGUUGAAUAAUUGUUAUUUUGUUCCUAGUUUAAGUCGAAACAUUUUGUCUCCUUCAUGUUUGAUGAAGGAUGGUUAUUCAUUUGCGAGUGAAAACAAUGGUUGUGUGAUCUCUAAGAAUAAUAUGUUUAUGGCUUUUGCACCCAUUGUGAAUGGAUUAUUUGUUUUAAAUCUUGAUGGUUCACCUGUCUGUAAUGUAAGUGCUAAAAGGCCUCGGCCUAAUGAUUUGAGUCCUACCUACUUGUGGCAUUGUCGUUUGGGUCAUAUAAGUGAUAAGCGCAUGAAGAAGCUCCAUUCUGAUGGACUUCUAACUUCGUUUGAUUUUGAAUCAUACGAGACAUGUGAGGCUUGCUUGCUAGGCAAGAUGACCAAGACGCUUUUCACAGGAUUUCCUGAGAGAGCAGUAGACUUGUUGGAACUCGUACAUAGUGAUGUAUGCGGACCAAUGAGCACGACGGCUAGAGGAGGAUUCCAAUACUUCAUAACUUUCACUGAUGAUUUUAGUAGAUAUGGCUAUGUCUACUUGAUGAGGCACAAGUCUGAUUGACUCUAGUGCAAGUGGGAGACUGUUGGAGGUAUGCCCUAGAGGCAAUCAUAGAGAUGAUGAUAUUCCAUUUGUAUCCAUGAUUUGUAUAUUGUGUUCAUUGAAUAUCCAUUAAAGGCUACUUGAAUUGAUUUGCAAUUAUGUGAAUUGUAUGUGAAACUCUUUACUUGUAUGGUUAUUCUAAAGUUGUCCCUAGUCGGAGUUCAUGUGAGGACACACAUGAAUAUUAGACUAGCACAUGUAUUAGUUGAUGACUAUGUUUCACAAGUCACGGACAUGGAGAUGUUGAACUAAUAAUGUGGACACAUGUGAAGACAUGUGCUAGGACUGACCCAACACGAGAAGUAGUUCUCUCUUUAAAACAACAUAUACGCUUUGUCCUUAGACCUGAGAUUGUCGCAUGUAUUCUAGAUGUGGAUCGACCUACUUAGGGGCUAUCAAACGCUACGCCGUAACAGGGUAGUUAUAAAGGUAGCUUUCGGGUUUGUCAAGAAGCAUGCUAUGAGACAUGGUCAAUCAAGAUGGGAUUUGCCCCUCUCUGAUUGAGAGUGAUAUCUCUGGGCCCCUCGAGUGAUCGGAUCCGAAAAUGCAUGGCCAUGCUACGUACGGUUAAGAGUUAACCUACAAAGGGAUUCCGAAUCACAGGAUCGAGAAAGAGCGGUCGGCUUGAAGCUAGACCAAAUAUCGU
rnacentral:lncRNA from 1 species